UUUAAUUUAGGCUCAUUAAUUUUCUUCUUCAUUUCCAAUUGUGAAUGCAAUUCAAAAUGAGGUUACUGUGUGACCUAUCUGCAUCGCACCAUGUUUAUUUGGAAACUGUGUGGUAUCUGUAUAAGAUAACUGAGCAAGUUCAAGUUGAAUUGGUUUUUUACGUGAAGGAAAAUAAAUGUCAUUGUUUACAUCAAGUAACUAAUUAAAGUGAUGAAAAAAAUUCUUUAUCUGUAUGGGUAUGCCAUGAAUCAGUUCAGAAAGUUCAUACCUGCAAGUAUCCUGUUCAUAGUUGAGUUAUGAGUUAGUACUGCAUUUAAACAUGCAUUCAGGCCAUUUCCCACUCCCCCAUUCACCCGCACAAUGAUUUAAUAACUCUUUAAAGUACACUGCUGUUCUUGCAGCGAUUCAUUUUAGAGUAAUGGUGCAUGCAUUACUGGGGAUUGCAUGAGCUAUAUUUUGUCUUUCUUGUUGUUGGCCCAUUUAUCCUACAUUGUAACUGUCACAAGGAAUUAUUCCUUUAUAUGUGAGAAAUAUGCAGCUCGGCUCUGUCACCUUUAGUUAAAUAAUUGAGACCUUUAGUUAAAUAAUUGAGACACAUAAGCUUAAACUCCAUAUUUUUUAAAGUUUUUAUGUAAAAAUUUUCAGGAAACAGGAUGGAUGCCAAGCCAUGUCGUUGCUAAUGAUGAAUCUGAAAAUAU
rnacentral:lncRNA from 1 species